AGUCACGUGGUCUAAUGGUUAUGAUUUCUCGUUCACAUCAAGUGAGUUUCUCCUUUCGAGGUGCCGAGAAGGUUCCCGGUUCGAUCCCGGGCGUGACUA